UGAACUUCACCUGCACAGGUGAGAUGGGGACAGGUGAGACAGGUGACACCUGGGACAGGUGAGGGGACACAGGGACAGGUGAGGGGACACAGGGACAGGUGAGGGGACAGGUGAGGGGCAGUGGCCACGCCCGGCUUGCUCUUCAUGAACUUCACCUGUGCAGGUGAGGGACAGGUGAGACAGGUGACACCUGGGACAGGUGAGGGGACAGCUGGGACAGCUAAAGGACACUGGGACAGGUGAGGAGCAGUGAGAAAGGU